AUGUUGCCCCUUGAUUGGUUAUGGCCUUGAUAUCCCCAAACAUCUUCAUUUGCAUAAAAUUGAGGACUUUGAUAACCUUGCCCAUAGGGCACAAUCAAAUGUUAGGGACACUUGGCAUUGUGGUCCGUUCGGCAUUAUGAGUCAAUUGAGCAGUGAGCUGUGCCAAUUGAGCUUGAAUGAUCGCAAGUGCCAUGUCUCGCUCCAUUUGUACCUAAAAUCAAAGGAAGAAAAAAUAAAUCAAAUAUCAAAAGUAACACAAAACAAGGAAAACAAAACUAAGUCAGAAAUUAAAACAAAAACAAACUAAACAAAAAGAAAAGAACCAAGGGAUUAGCAAAGUUUGCUAAUCCCCGGCAAACGGCGCCAAAAAUUUGAUGCGAAAAUAUAUAAGCACACAAAUUAAA
rnacentral:lncRNA from 1 species